rnacentral:tRNA from 1 species
GGUAGCGUGGCCGAGCGGUCUAAGGCGCUGGAUUAAGGGUCCAGUCUCAUCGGAGGCGUGGGUUCGAAUCCCACCGUUGCCA